rnacentral:misc_RNA from 1 species
AAGGAUCAUUAGUGAAUUUGUUGGAUUCUAAAUCCACACUCUCUCACUUUCUAACCCUGUGAACUUAUUAUAAAUGGUAUUUGGAAUGUUAACGCGUUUCAUUUACUGUUUUCAUAUUAUAAACUUAGUAAAGUUGAAGAAUGUCUUUUUUAUAACAAAUAAAAACUUUCAACAACGGAUCUCUUGGCUCUC